UACGUAGGGCGCAAGCGUUGUCCGGAAUUAUUGGGCGUAAAGAGCUCGUAGGCGGCUUGUCACGUCGGGUGUGAAAGCCCGGGGCUUAACCCCGGGUCUGCAUUCGAUACGGGCUAGCUAGAGUGUGGUAGGGGAGGUCGGAAUUCCUGGUGUAGCGGUGAAAUGCGCAGAUAUCAGGAGGAACACCGGUGGCGAAGGCGGUCUGCUGGGCCAAGACUGACGCUGAGGCGCGACAGCGUGGGGAGCAAACAGG
rnacentral:rRNA from 1 species